rnacentral:rRNA from 1 species
GCUCUUUUCGGAGAGAGAGGCGCACGGGUGAGUAACACGUGGGAAUAUACCCUUGAGUGCGGAAUAACUAUUGGAAACGAUAGCUAAUACCGCAUACGCCCUACGGGGGAAAGAUUUAUCGCUCAAGGAUUAGCCCGCGUCUGAUUAGCUAGUUGGUGAGGUAAUGGCUCACCAAGGCGACGAUCAGUAGCUGGUUUGAGAGAAUGAUCAGCCACACUGGGACUGAGACACGGCCCAGACUCCUACGGGAGGCAGCAGUGGGGAAUAUUGGACAAUGGGGGCAACCCUGAUCCAGCCAUGCCGCGUGAGUGAAGAAGGCCUUCGGGUUGUAAAGCUCUUUCAGACGUGAAGAUGAUGACGGUAACGUCAGAAGAAGCCCC